UCAGCGGUGACAUUAUAUUCUCACAGGAGUAUGAACCCUAUUGUGGACUGUGCGUGCAAAGGAACUAGGUUGUGUGCUGCUUAUGAGAAUCUAAUGCCUGAUGAUCUGUCACUAUCUCCCAUCACCCACAGAUGGAACCAUCUCGUUGCAGGAAAACAAGCUCAGAACUCCCACUGAUUCUACAUUAUGAAUUAACAGGACCAUCCUUUCUGGAGCUGCUCAAGAUCGGCUGAAGGAAGCAAAGCUACAUUUCUUGAUGUGGGAUCUUGUUAUGUUACCCAGGCUGGAGAGCAGUGGCUAUUCACAGGUGUGAUCGGCACACUAUGACCUGGAACUCCUGGCCUCAAGUGACCCUCCUGCCUCAGCCUCUCAAGCAGCUGGGACUACAGGCUCCUGACACCAUAUCCAGCUGAACCUGAUUUUAUAUUCCAGUGGCUGACAAACUAUUUAACUCCUCUGAACUACAGAUUCUACCCACCUAAUUUUUGCCAGUUUGUAUGCAAAAGAACAACUUAUCACUUUUUAUUUUCAAGCCACUUCCCUCCAGCCAUGUACAUUAAAC
rnacentral:lncRNA from 1 species